AAGUUUCUGCCGGUAGGGAUUAUGCGUAGUUUCCUCAACCCGGGAGCUUCGGCCUUGUCCCCUCCCACCAUCGAAAUAGCAGCGAUUCCACAAAAUGAGCAGGAGGGGAAAAGCAAAGCGCCACAAACUUAAACCUGCUCUUCUCGUCACAAGGGCAUUGCUCACCAACCGGGGCACUGGCCAGCGUUUUUUACCUUUUUUUUCUAUUAUUUGGGAAUAUAUGUGUUAUAUUUUUGAGUCAUUUCUGUAAAUUUUCAGUAGGAAACAACCGACGUUUCAGCUAUAUUCACAGCACCGUUGUACAGAAGUGCAUUGUAUUGGGACCCGAGUAAGGAAGGAGGGAGCGAGGGAGGAGGAGGAGGAAGAGGAGGAGGGUGCUGGAGAAGCACACAGCUGCACGGCACACAGAAGCCGGUUUCCCAACCCUGACAGCAAGGGAGCGAGUGAACAAGGGGCCUCGCUUCGGCAGCUCUGUCCAGUAGAGAAAAUGUCUUUCUUUCAUUCUUUAAAAAAAAAAAAAACACUCUGAAAUACAGAACGGAUGAGGACGAGAAAGAGGAUUAUUUUUGCUUCUCCGUGACUGGCUACUCUUAUCCACUACAUGCGAUGAACUGCACACAAACGAUACACAUCAGGAUGUGCUACGUCAGGUUUGGUCCACCUUAAGUGCUGAUAAAAAUUCCGCUAGGACAAUUUGUCCUGAGGUAAAGCAGAGUGAUUGCCUGAACGAAGUCUGUGACUUUCCCCAGAAGUCAUCCAGAGCGACAUAAAGGCUUUUCCACUACAGCCAUCCAUAAGUCAUGUAGAGCUACCUCGUUCACCUGCGGCAAUGCGUGUGUGUGUGUGUAAGUCACAUGGUAGAUGCUCUGUAUGUGUGUGGUAUGGAAUGCACAAAUGGUGAGUUCUGCAUAUACAGAAGAUUCAUUCAUCUUAUUAAAGAGAAGGCAAGAGGUGGUUGAGUUCAACACACACACACACACACACACACACACACACACACACACACACACACACACACACACACACUGUCCAAUGAGGACCAAAUAAUGUCUCCACAUGAUUAAAAAUGCCAGAUGUUCCUACCCUUGUAAGGAACAAGAUGAUAAAAUACACACUCACAUAAACACACAAACACACACACAGUCACAAUGUGAGUUAUUAUCUUACAUAUAUAUAUAUAUAUGAAACGUUUUUACUGUAAAGCUAAUAAAUGACAUUUAAAAAAACAUUUUAUACAAUAUCAGUGUCUUUAAACAUGCAAAAUGAUCAAUAAAGUAUAAAAGAAAGUA